rnacentral:tRNA from 55 species
UCCGCAGUAGCUCAGUGGUAGAGCUAUCGGCUGUUAACCGAUCGGUCGCAGGUUCGAAUCCUGCCUGCGGAGCCA